AUACGGACUCUGCCGGUAGGAGGGAGAGAGAAGUAAUGCAGCCGUGAAAACAAAUUGUCUCCGCGAGACAACUCCAAGUUCAUUUUUCUGCUGAUAGUUGCUAAACAUGACAGAUUUAAAGAGUACAACACAGUCAAGUUCUGUCCUGCAUUGGAGUAUGUUGCUUCAAAUUACUGUUCAACUUGGACAUAAGAUGGAAAUCUAGACAAGGUGAAGGACUUACAAAUCACCACAAGCAUUCCUCUGAACUUCCAAAUCCAGUGAAGAGGUGAAGCAAGGGCGAGUGUCUCUCCUCCAUCUGGGCUCUCCACUAUCCCAUUAGUUGGCCUAGGUAAUGAAGGAACCAAAAUGCUGCCCCUGCCCCUUAAGUCCUUUCCUGAGCUCUCAGUGACACCUUCAGAUUCUUUUCAUUUGAAUCAAGUGUAUUUUUAUGAAUAAGAGAAAAGGCUAAAAGACCAUUAGUUCUAAAAUCAUGGUGUGGAGAAGCUGCCAUUUUCUAACUAUUUUUUUA
rnacentral:lncRNA from 1 species